GCCUAACACAUGCAAGUCGAGCGAGGAGAUCCUUCGGGAUGAUCCUAGCGGCGGACGGGUGAGUAACACGUGGGCAACCUGCCUCAUAGAGAGGAAUAGCCUUCCGAAAGGGAGAUUAAUACCUCAUAACAUUGCAGUUUCGCAUGAAACAGCAAUUAAAGGAGCAAUCCGCUAUGAGAUGGGCCCGCGGCGCAUUAGCUAGUUGGUGAGGUAACGGCUCACCAAGGCGACGAUGCGUAGCCGACCUGAGAGGGUGAUCGGCCACAUUGGGACUGAGACACGGCCCAGACUCCUACGGGAGGCAGCAGUGGGGAAUAUUGCACAAUGGGGGAAACCCUGAUGCAGCCAACGCCGCGUGAGUGAUGACGGCCUUCGGGUUGUAAAGCUCUGUCUUCAGGGACGAUAAUGACGGUACCUGAGGAGGAAGCCACGGCUAACUACGUGCCAGCAGCAGC
rnacentral:rRNA from 1 species